rnacentral:rRNA from 1 species
UACGUAGGGUCCGAGCGUUGUCCGGAAUUAUUGGGCGUAAAGGGCUCGUAGGCGGUCCGUCGCGUCGGGAGUGAAAACUCGGAGCUUAACUCCGAGCCUGCUUCCGAUACGGGCAGACUAGAGGUAGGCAGGGGAGAGCGGAACUCCUGGUGUAGCGGUGGAAUGCGCAGAUAUCAGGAAGAACACCCGUGGCGAAGGCGGCUCUCUGGGACGGUACUGACGCUGAGACGCGAAAGCGUGGGGAGCGAACAGG